UACGUAGGGGGCUAGCGUUGUCCGGAAUCAUUGGGCGUAAAGCGCGUGUAGGCGGUCCGGUAAGUCCGCUGUGAAAGUCGGGGGCUCAACCCUCGAAUGCCGGUGGAUACUGUCGGGCUAGAGUACGGAAGAGCGAGUGGAAUCCUGGUGUAGCGGUGAAAUGCGCAGGUAUCUCAAGGAGGAACACCUAUUGCGAAGGGCAGCUCGCUGGGACGUCACUGGACGCUGAGACGCGAAAGCGUGGGGAGGCAAACAGGG
rnacentral:rRNA from 1 species